rnacentral:lncRNA from 10 species
UAAAAAAAAACAAAAAACACAAGGGUUGAGGAGAGGAAGGCACUUGGGACCCAGGAGUCCUGUGUCUUGGGCUGUUGCUGCCUUCUGAGUGGCUGGGGAAAGAUGGAUGCAAACCUGCUAAAUCGAGCCCAUCUUCCCUACACUAUCUUAUUUAGCUUCUCUUCUUUUUUCUUUUUUUGCCCCCAUUCUUCUCUUCUGGAACAUAGAAGCUUCCAUUUAUUUCUCCCCUAUUUUCGUAGACAUUUAUCUCCCCAUCUCUAGUCCUGCUCACUAGAGUGACAUCUUGAG